UGUUAUUAUAAAUAGAUCUGAGAUGUGUA
rnacentral:piRNA from 1 species